GUGAGGAAUAUUGGUCAAUGGGCGGGAGCCUGAACCAGCCAAGUCGCGUGAAGGAAGAAGGAUCUAUGGUUCGUAAACUUCUUUUGCAGGGGAAUAAAGUGCAGGACGUGUCCUGUUUUGUAUGUACCCUGAGAAUAAGGAUCGGCUAACUCCGUGUCAGCAGCCGCGGUAAUACGGAGGAUCCGAGCGUUAUCCGGAUUUAUUGGGGUUAAAGGGUGCGUAGGUGGUUUGAUAAGUCAGCGGUGAAAGUUUGCAGCUUAACUGUAAAAAUGCCGUUGAAACUGUCGGACUUGAGUGUAAAUGAGGUAGGCGGAAUGCGUGGUGUAGCGGUGAAAUGCAUAGAUAUCACGCAGAACUCCGAUUGCGAAGGCAGCUUACUAAGCUACAACUGACACUGAAGCACGAAAGCGUGGGGAUCAAACAGGAUUAGAAACCCGAGUAGUCC
rnacentral:rRNA from 1 species